GCCAGGCGCGGUGGCAUGUGCCUGUAGUCCCAGCUACUCAGGAGGCUGAGGUGGGAGGAUCACUUGAGCCCAGGAGUUAUGGGCUGUAGUGCGCUAUGCCAAUCGGGUGUCUGCAGUAAGUUUGGUAUCAAUAUGGUGACCUCCCAGGAUCGGGAAACCACCAGGUUGCCUAAGGAGGGGUGAACUGGCCUAGGUUGGAAACGGAGCAGGUCAAAACUCCCGUGCUGAUCAGUAAUGGGAUCAUGCCUGUGAAUAGCCACUGCACUCCAGCCUGGGCAACAUAGCGAGACCUCUUCUCU
rnacentral:SRP_RNA from 1 species